rnacentral:sRNA from 1 species
GACCUAACCCUUCGGGAUAAAUUCGGAAGGUAUGGUCGAAAGUCGCAUCGAGUACAAAGACCCCAUCAUCAGGGUCGCUCGAUGCGCCAUAUAGGGAAACCUGUAUGUGAGCCGCAAGGCUCU